rnacentral:RNase_P_RNA from 1 species
AGAUGGCCGGAUGGCCGCUGCGGUCUGCCGCAGAGGAAAGUCCGGGCACCACGGAAGAACGGUGCCGGUUAAUGGCCGGCGGAGGCGACUCCAGGGAAAGUGCCACAGAAAGCAAACCGCCUGAAACGAGUUUCAGGUAAGGGUGAAAGGGUGCGGUAAGAGCGCACCGCUUUUCUGGCAACAGAAAAGGCAGGGUAAACCCCACCGGGUGCAAGAUCAAAUAGGAACGACAAGCCGGGGCAUUCCCCCGGCGGCUCACUUCCGGAGCGUUGUUCGGGUUGAUUGCAUGAGGCGGCUGGCAACAGUCGUCCCAGAUGAAUGGCCAUCCCUUCGGACAACCGGAGGACAGAACCCGGCUUACAGGCCGUCUGGU